GUGCUUGAUUUGAUGACAUGUACAACAAAAUGGGAAUGGUUCAGAGAAGAUGAGAAUGGCCGCUGUGCAGGGAUGACAGGCACAUUCGUAAAGAAUUCCAUAUUUAG